UACGAUUAAAGCAUUAACAACCACCGGCUUAAAUAGGAACUCUCUUACUUUUUAAUAUUUUUAUCGAAAUUGGAUGUAAAUCAAAUCGCCGUGAUCCUACGUAUCGUAUGAAUUUUUAAUUUGAUAUUUUAACUCUUUUUGAAAAGCCUUAUAUCUGUCGAUAUCGUCAAGAGCGGUUCAUUAAGAUAAUAGAAGGAAAAACUUCAGUAUUGACGAGAAAAAUGUCCGGUUCAAGAGGUUUGCAAAUGAAUUCCGCCGCUUUGCUUUUGCUUACGAUAACUUUGUUUAUCGCUCUUUUCACCUCUUCGACGAAUGCAAUAAGAGUGCAGGCGUGGGAGACGAAAAGAUCUGCCGGCCCAUACCAACUCUUAACAACAGACGAACUGAUGGAAAAACUGGUGGCGAAGGCAAGGUACGAGCAAUCAAGACACCAUCCACGCGAACUGUACUGGUGAAAAGACAGUUGGAAAUCAAGAUAAGCGAAGGCAAAACACCGCAGAACAAUACCAAUAACUUAAAACGUGCAAAAGGACUGGCUAAGAAGGAUUCGUCAAAAAUGCAGUUUAAUGUUAAAUUAUUUCUCAAUAUAUGUCAAACUUGCUCCUAUUUUGAUUAAUUUCCUGCCAAGCUUUACCCAAAAAUGUUACAUGAAUGUUCACCAAUUUCAAGGUUAGCCACAAAGUGUACAUCAUAACAUCAUUGAUCAAUGAAUUUUGAAAUGAGGCAUUAAACGAGCAAAUAAAUAUGUAACAUAUCCACUAGUAUUUUCUUACCCGGCGAUUUGAGAAGAGCGACAACUGAAGUUCUAUUUCUACCAGAGCUGUGGAAAAUGCAACGCUUUAAUACGGUACAGUGUGUUUCGCUCACGCCACAUAAACCCGACGAGGUAACGUGACUGAUCUUUGGCUUAUAGAAUCGGCGGCGACUGCUUUUGACGCGGACCAGUACUGAAGUUAUGGACUUUUUUAUUCUCUUCGAUGAA